AGAGUUUGAUCCUGGCUCAGAACGAACGCUGGCGGCGUGGAUAAGACAUGCAAGUCGAACGAGAGAAUUGCUAGCUUGCUAAUAAUUCUCUAGUGGCGCACGGGUGAGUAACACGUGAGUAACCUGCCCCCGAGAGCGGGAUAGCCCUGGGAAACUGGGAUUAAUACCGCAUAGUAUCGAAAGAUUAAAGCAGCAAUGCGCUUGGGGAUGGGCUCGCGGCCUAUUAGUUAGUUGGUGAGGUAACGGCUCACCAAGGCGAUGACGGGUAGCCGGUCUGAGAGGAUGUCCGGCCACACUGGAACUGAGACACGGUCCAGACACCUACGGGUGGCAGCAGUCGAGAAUCAUUCACAAUGGGGGAAACCCUGAUGGUGCGACGCCGCGUGGGGGAAUGAAGGUCUUCGGAUUGUAAACCCCUGUCACGUGGGAGCAAAUUAAAAAGAUAGUACCACAAGAGGAAGAGACGGCUAACUCUGUGCCAGCAGCCGCGGUAAUACAGAGGUCUCAAGCGUUGUUCGGAAUCACUGGGCGUAAAGCGUGCGUAGGCUGUUUCGUAAGUCGUGUGUGAAAGGCGCGGGCUCAACCCGCGGACGGCACAUGAUACUGCGAGACUAGAGUAAUGGAGGGGGAACCGGAAUUCUCGGUGUAGCAGUGAAAUGCGUAGAUAUCGAGAGGAACACUCGUGGCGAAGGCGGGUUCCUGGACAUUAACUGACGCUGAGGCACGAAGGCCAGGGGAGCGAAAGGGAUUAGAUACCCCUGUAGUCCUGGCAGUAAACGGUGCACGCUUGGUGUGCGGGGAAUCGACCCCCUGCGUGCCGGAGCUAACGCGUUAAGCGUGCCGCCUGGGGAGUACGGUCGCAAGAUUAAAACUCAAAGAAAUUGACGGGGACCCGCACAAGCGGUGGAGUAUGUGGCUUAAUUCGAUGCAACGCGAAGAACCUUACCUGGGCUUGACAUGUAAUGAACAACAUGUGAAAGCAUGCGACUCUUCGGAGGCGUUACACAGGUGCUGCAUGGCCGUCGUCAGCUCGUGUCGUGAGAUGUUUGGUUAAGUCCAGCAACGAGCGCAACCCCUGUUGCCAGUUACCAGCACGUGAAGGUGGGGACUCUGGCGAGACUGCCCAGAUCAACUGGGAGGAAGGUGGGGACGACGUCAGGUCAGUAUGGCCCUUAUGCCCAGGGCUGCACACGUACUACAAUGCCCAGUACAGAGGGGGCCGAAGCCGCGAGGCGGAGGAAAUCCUAAAAACUGGGCCCAGUUCGGACUGUAGGCUGCAACCCGCCUACACGAAGCCGGAAUCGCUAGUAAUGGCGCAUCAGCUACGGCGCCGUGAAUACGUUCCCGGGUCUUGUACACACGGCCCGUCA
rnacentral:rRNA from 1 species